rnacentral:rRNA from 1 species
CCUACGGGUGGCAGCAGUGAGGAAUAUUGGUCAAUGGACGAAAGUCUGAACCAGCCAAGUCGCGUGAAGGAUGACUGCCCUGUGGGUUGUAAACUUCUUUUAUAUGGGAAUAAAACGUUCCACGUGUGGGGUUUUGUAUGUACCAUAUGAAUAAGGAUCGGCUAACUCCGUUCCAGGAGCCGCGGUAAUAAGGAGGAUCCGAGCUUUAUCCGGAUUUAUUGGGUUUAAAGGGAUCGUAGGUGGAUUGUUAAGUCAGUUGUGAAAGUGUGCGGCUCAACCGUAAAAUUGCAGUUGAAACUGGGAGUCUUGAGUACAGGAGAGGUGGGCGGAAUGCGUGGUGUAGCGGUGAAAUGCUUAGAUAUCACGAAGAACUCCGAUUGCGAAGGCAGUUCACUGGACUGCAACUGACACUGAGGCUCGAAAGUGUGGGUAUCAAACAGGAUUAGAUACCCGAGUAGUC